rnacentral:lncRNA from 1 species
UUGGUUUUCUAAAAUGAAUAAAAUUAAUUUUCCCUGUCUUUCACCUCAUCCCUUCAUUUCUCCCCUGUCUUCCAAGGAUUUAUGCAAUAAACCAUUAUUAAGAUGAAUCAUGAAGAGGUCAAUGAUAUUAAAGUUCAGCUUCAUUGAUGAGAAAUUUCACUUAAAACAUCAGCAGAGAUGAAUGAAAGUAAUUCCCAACAUUAAUGAGGCCGCAGGCCUCUGGGAGAGCCGUGAUGAACGUAGCUGGUCUGCGGCGCGCUGUGCGGUGGACCCCAGGGUAAGGGUUGGGAAGCAGGGUUCUGAGCCAGGCCCUUUCCCAGAGGCCAGUGGAGUGGCGCCCCGGUGGAGGCCUGCUGUUCCCGCAGAUCCACGAGCUCCCGGGGCGCCCUAGGGGCGCUGGACUUCGAGGCGGAGCUGUGAAUGCACUGACAGGGCCUUCAGGAUCAUUAAACCCUUCACCAAGAGAGCGCAAUGGAAGUGCUGAUUAUGAAAGCUUCUGGAAAUGGCCCAGGAGUGUAGGAGAAUGCGGAGCACAGACAAGGUUGAGAAGGGAGAAAAAAGGACCUGCUGGCCUUGGUACUGGAUCCAAACUAAUGAGAACUGGUGCUCAAGUUUGAGCCCAUGGGAGUGUCUGGUACAACCUCUGAAGGUAGGAUGGGGCCACUCCUAGAGGGAUGCAACAUCCACAGUUAUCAGUUCAGCUCAG